UUCCUUAUGUGUAGAUGAACAAAUAAGGGAUAUUAUUAGAAAUAAAUACAAAAGUUCUUUAGCCGUUGAUGAUAAACAUAUGAAGAUGCUUUGUAAUGAUUAUGGUAAUUAAUUAUUAUUGAGUGUUCGCCAACACUA
rnacentral:sRNA from 1 species